rnacentral:rRNA from 1 species
AGAGUUUGAUCCUGGCUCAGGACGAACGCUGGCGGCGCGCCUAACACAUGCAAGUCGAACGGAGCUAUGUUGAAAGCUUGCUGGAUAUAUAGCUUAGUGGCGGACGGGUGAGUAACACGUGAGCAACCUGCCUUUCAGAGUGGAAUAACGUUUGGAAACGAACGCUAAUACCGCAUAACGUCAGAGGACGGCAUCGUCUUUUGACCAAAGAUUUAUCGCUGAAAGAUGGGCUCGCGGCCGAUUAGGUAGUUGGUGAGAUAAUAGCCCACCAAGCCGACGAUCGGUAGCCGGACUGAGAGGUUGAACGGCCACAUUGGGACUGAGACACGGCCCAGACUCCUACGGGAGGCAGCAGUGGGGGAUAUUGCACAAUGGGGGAAACCCUGAUGCAGCGACGCCGCGUGAGGGAAGACGGCCUUCGGGUUGUAAACCUCUGUCUUCGGGGACGAAUAAAUGACGGUACCCGAGGAGGAAGCCACGGCUAACUACGUGCCAGCAGCCGCGGUAAUACGUAGGUGGCAAGCGUUGUCCGGAAUUACUGGGUGUAAAGGGAGCGUAGGCGGGGAGGCAAGUUGAAUGUCUAAACUAUCGGCUCAACUGAUAGUCGCGUUCAAAACUGCCACUCUUGAGUGCAGUAGAGGUAGGCGGAAUUCCUAGUGUAGCGGUGAAAUGCGUAGAUAUUAGGAGGAACACCAGUGGCGAAGGCGGCCUACUGGGCUGUAACUGACGCUGAGGCUCGAAAGCGUGGGUAGCAAACAGGAUUAGAUACCCUGGUAGUCCACGCCGUAAACGAUGAUUACUAGGUGUGGGGGGACUGACCCCUUCCGUGCCGGAGUUAACACAAUAAGUAAUCCACCUGGGGAGUACGGCCGCAAGGCUGAAACUCAAAGGAAUUGACGGGGGCCCGCACAAGCAGUGGAUUAUGUGGUUUAAUUCGAAGCAACGCGAAGAACCUUACCAGGGCUUGACAUCCAACUAACGAAGCAGAGAUGCAUUAGGUGCCCUUCGGGGAAAGUUGAGACAGGUGGUGCAUGGUUGUCGUCAGCUCGUGUCGUGAGAUGUUGGGUUAAGU